rnacentral:rRNA from 1 species
GCAGUCGAACGGUAACAUAAAGAAGCUUGCUUCUUUGAUGACGAGUGGCGGACGGGUGAGUAAUGCUUGGGAAUCUAGCUUAUGGAGGGGGAUAACUACGGGAAACUGUAGCUAAUACCGCGUAAUAUCGAAAGAUUAAAGUGUGGGACCUUCGGGCCACAUGCCAUAGGAUGAGCCCAAGUGGGAUUAGGUAGUUGGUGAGGUAAAGGCUCAACAAGCCGACGAUCUCUAGCUGGUCUGAGAGGAUGACCAGCCACACUGGGACUGAGACACGGCCCAGACUCCUACGGGAGGCAGCAGUGGGGAAUAUUGCGCAAUGGGGGCAACCCUGACGCAGCCAUGCCGCGUGAAUGAAGAAGGCCUUCGGGUUGUAAAGUUCUUUCGGUAGCGAGGAAGGCAUUUAGUUUAAUAGACUAGGUGAUUGACGUUAACUACAGAAGAAGCACCGGCUAACUCCGUGCCAGCAGCCGCGGUAAUACGGAGGGUGCGAGCGUUAAUCGGAAUAACUGGGCGUAAAGGGCACGCAGGCGGUGACUUAAGUGAGGUGUGAAAGCCCCGGGCUUAACCUGGGAAUUGCAUUUCAUACUGGGUCGCUAGAGUACUUUAGGGAGGGGUAGAAUUCCACGUGUAGCGGUGAAAUGCGUAGAGAUGUGGAGGAAUACCGAAGGCGAAGGC